rnacentral:rRNA from 1 species
GGGUAGUUUGACUGGGGCGGUCUCCUCCUAAAGAGUAACGGAGGAGCACGAAGGUUGGCUAAUCCUGGUCGGACAUCAGGAGGUUAGUGCAAUGGCAUAAGCCAGCUUGACUGCGAGCGUGACGGCGCGAGCAGGUGCGAAAGCAGGUCAUAGUGAUCCGGUGGUUCUGAAUGGAAGGGCCAUCGCUCAACGGAUAAAAGGUACUCCGGGGAUAACAGGCUGAUACCGCCCAAGAGUUCAUAUCGACGGCGGUGUUUGGCACCUCGAUGUCGGCUCAUCACAUCCUGGGGCUGAAGUAGGUCCCAAGGGUAUGGCUGUUCGCCAUUUAAAGUGGUACGCGAGCUGGGUUUAGAACGUCGUGAGACAGUUCGGUCCCUAUCUGCCGUGGGCGCUGGAGAACUGAGGGGGGCUGCUCCUAGUACGAGAGGACCGGAGUGGACGCAUCACUGGUGUUCGGGUUGUCAUGCCAAUGGCACUGCCCGGUAGCUAAAUGCGGAAGAGAUAAGUGCUGAAAGCAUCUAAGCACGAAACUUGCCCCGAGAUGAGUUCUCCCUGACUCCUUGAGAGUCCUGAAGGAACGUUGAAGACGACGACGUUGAUAGGCCGGGUGUGUAAGCGCAGCGAUGCGUUGAGCUAACCGGUA